GACAGAGGAGCCAAGCGUUGUCCGGAUUGACUGGGCGUAAAGCGCACGCAGGCGGUGCGGCACGUGGGGUGUGAAAGCGGCCCGCUUAACGGGUCGAGGCCAUCCCAUACGGCCACACUCGAGAGUGGCAGAGGUUCGUGGAAUUGCCGGUGUAGUGGUGAAAUGCGUAGAGAUCGGCAGGAACACCAAGGGGGAAACCGAGCGAAC
rnacentral:rRNA from 1 species